GCCAGCAAAGCUCAGUUGGUAGCGCAGCGCACUUGUAAUGCGAAGGCCGUAGGUUCGAUUCCUGUUGUCGGCACCA
rnacentral:tRNA from 1 species